rnacentral:rRNA from 1 species
GAUGAACGCUGACAGAAUGCUUAACACAUGCAAGUCAACUUGAAUUUGGGUUUUUAACUUAGGUUUGGGUGGCGGACGGGUGAGUAACGCGUAAGGAACUUGCCUCACAGCUAGUGACAACAUUUGGAAACGAAUGCUAAUACCUAAUAUUAUAAUACUAGGUCAUCCUAUAAUUAUGAAAGCUAUAAGCGCUGUGAGAUAGCUUUGCGUCCCAUUAGCUAGUUGGAGAGGUAACGGCUCACCAAGGCUAUGAUGGGUAGCCGGUCUGAGAGGGUGAUCGGCAAAAAGGGACUGGGGAAACGGCCAGACUCCUUCGGGGAGGAAGAAGUGGGGAUUAUUGACCAAGGGACCGAGCGUGUGGUAGAGAAGCCGUGUGCGGGAGAAGGGGUUUUUGGGUGUAAACCGCUUUCUCCUUUGACGAGGAGUGAAUGACGGUAAUGAGAAAAGAAGCACCGGCUAACUACGUG